UCCACCAUGAUGGCCCCACCCAUAGCUGUCGCGGUCCCGGCGCGGACCCCUGGCGUGCUCCACCAUGACCCGCUCUCCACACAGCUCUUUA